rnacentral:rRNA from 1 species
AGUCACUGACAUUAGAUACCCGUGUAGUCCAGGGUGUAAACGCUGCAGACUUGGUGUUGGAGGCCCUUUGGGGGCAUUCAGUGCCGGAGAGAAGUUGUUAAGUCUGCUACUUGGGGAGUACGUCCGCAAGGAUGAAACUUAAAGGAAUUGGCGGGGGAGCACCACAACGGGUGGAGCUUGCGGUUUAAUUGGAUUCAACGCCGGAAAUCUUACCGGGACCGACAGCAACAUGAAGGCCAGGCUGAAGACUUUGCCGGAUUAGCUG